UCCAGUGCCCAAACACCCUCUGAGUGAAGAACCUUUUUCUAAUACCCAACCUAAACCUGCCCUGACUCAGGUUCAGGCCAUGCCCUCAGGUCGUGUCAUUGGUCACCAGAGAGGAGACAUCAGUUCCUGUCACUGCACAUCCCCUUUGGGUGAGGAAGCUGUAGAUUGCUAUGAGGCCUAUCCUCAGUCUCCUCUUCUGUGGGCUGGGUAAAUCAAGAUUACCAAAGUGGAGCCAUGACUCAGAGGGUUUUCCUGCUCCAACCUGCCCAUCAUCAGCUCUUCCCUGCAAUCUCAGAAAUGAAGAAAGGCAGAGUGGCCAUUCACAAGGUGUUUGCCCAAGAACAACAGCUCUCAGCCUGUUCUGUAAACCAGAUUUUAGUCAUCAAAGGGAAGAAAAGAAGGAAUAAAAGUCCACCCAAGCAAACAAAACAAAGCAAACAUAAAGCAUAAACACAAACACACAAACAAAACCCUUCAAGACAUUAAAAUUUGCUCAAAAAGAAUACAAUUUUUAAAAAUAAAAAUUAAUUGAGAAAUUGAUAGAA